rnacentral:tmRNA from 1 species
GGGGGCGACCGGUUUCGACGGGAUAAGAUCAUUGUAGGACUGCAUGCGGAGAUCUCGGAAUUCUCCUAAAACAUCCGAACAUUCGUACAUGCCGAUUACGGCUAUAUGGCCGCAGCUUAAGAUUGCGACCCGUCCUUUAUCCGAUUUGUCUAUGGUUGGAUAAAAGGGCGUCGACUACAUAGACUGGUCUUUAUAUGUGCCCAACAUAUUGAGAUGAGAUCCUUUGGGCUGGUUUCGUUAUUUGUUUGUCCUUGGCCAUUAGCGAAAUAAGACCUAGCUAAGAGACUAAUCAUGUAGAUGUUUUACAGGGGUUUAUUUCGGACGGGAGUUCGACUCUCCCCGCCUCCAC